rnacentral:tRNA from 1 species
GCGCCUGUAGCUCAGUGGAUAGAGCACUGGCCUCCGGAGCCAGGGGCCACAGGUUCAAAUCCUGUCAGGCGCGCCA